rnacentral:tRNA from 1 species
UAAUAAGAAGCGAUAUAUUGCAAUUAGUUUCGACCUAAUUUUAGAUAUUAAAAUAUCCUUAUUAU